rfam:Tupaia chinensis contig8877, whole genome shotgun sequence.
AAAAUAAACAAACUGUGUAUAUUAAAGCUGAAUAAUACAGAGACCAUUAACAUGGUCUCUGGGCAAGAAUAACAGGCAAAUUCAUGACAUAUUCUAUAUUUUU